GACGAACGCUGGCGGCGUGCUUAACACAUGCAAGUCGAACGGAAAGGCCCUGCUUUUGUGGUGUGCUCGAGUGGCGAACGGGUGAGUAACACGUGAGUAACCUGCCCUUGACUUUGGGAUAACUUCAGGAAACUGGGGCUAAUACCGGAUAGGAGCUCCUGCUGCAUGGUGUGGGUUGGAAAGUUUCGGCGGUUGGGGAUUGACUCGCGGCUUAUCAGCUUGUUGGUGGGGUAGUGGCUUACCAAGGCUUUGACGGGUAGCCGGCCUGAGAGGGUGACCGGCCACAUUGGGACUGAGAUACGGCCCAGACUCCUACGGGAGGCAGCAGUGGGGAAUAUUGCACAAUGGGCGGAAGCCUGAUGCAGCAACGCCGCGUGCGGGAUGCCGGCCUUCGGGUUGUAAACCGCUUUCGCCUGUGACGAAGCGUGAGUGACGGUAAUGGGUAAAGAAGCACCGGCUAACUACGUG
rnacentral:rRNA from 1 species